GACGAACCGUCCUAACGUUGUUCGGAAUCACUGGGCUUAAAGGGCGCGUAGGCGGCUUGCCAAGUCCGGGGUGAAAUCCUGCAGCUUAACUGUAGAAGGGCCUUGGAUACUGGCGAGCUCGAGGGAGGUAGGGGUAUGUGGAACUUCCGGUGGAGCGGUGAAAUGCGUUGAUAUCGGAAGGAACGCCGGUGGCGAAAGCGACGUACUGGACCUCUUCUGACGCUGAGGAGCGAAAGCGUGGGGAGCGAACAGG
rnacentral:rRNA from 1 species